rnacentral:tRNA from 1 species
GGCGAAUUAGCUCAGUCGGUUAGAGCAGCGGAAUCAUAAUCCGAAGGUCCGGGGUUCAAAUCCCUGAUUCGCCACCA